rnacentral:lncRNA from 1 species
UUUAGGAUGAGCCUUCAUGCACUAGCUACAUAUACAUAAAUAGAAUGUACACAAUUAACCAUGUGCGUAUGAUACACAAAAGGUGGGACAAGAGUCAAAACCAUGAGACUAGAAAACAAAUUCAAAAGGAACUUCAUAUCAUUCUAAUGGACGGACUCCAACUUCUCUACAUAUUCUCUUGUCAUUUUUGAGAUGAAGAAUGUCAAACUCUUCGCGUAGAAUCAAAUUAGGAGUAUGUACAUUUUCUUCCCAGUAAACACUUAGGCAAAAGACAGAUGAUGUUGUUUGUUUUCAGAUACACACUGGCCACAACCAACGAAAAUAAAUCAAACAGCUCCAUAAAUAAAACAAGAGGAAACACCAAGAGAGACAAUAACACAUGCUAAAAAAAAAAAAGAAAAAACAGAGUAUAAUGGAACCAAACCUCAUUGAUUACUAGCUCUUGGGUCCAAUUUUAUCUUCUUGUAUAACAUUCUGUCCACAACAAUAUUCUUCAAUCUGAGUCACAUCUUCCUGAAACAUAUGCAGAUUUCAGUUUUUUUUAUGGAUACAUUAUCAAGUUACGUUGCUACCAAAUUCGACCCAGAUAUUAGCAGACAAAUUGAAUCAGUGCAAAGGAAAAGUAUCCGUUUUGAUGCUCUGUUCCUCGUGCCAGGUCCGACGAUGAGAUGAGCAUAAGAAAAAAAUAGAGAGAAGGAUCAAAUAAGAACCAAAUUGAUUAUGUUUUCAUGACAAUGAGACAUUUUCCAGGUUGUCUUAUUCACAACACCAUUGAUAAGCACGACGAAUAGUCAAUGCUAAAUAAGUGAAAUCAAGCUAUUUUCAUUGUUUUCCAAUAGGCAUCAUCGGGGAUUUUAGCAUCACUAGUUUUCCACACAAAAAAAAAAAGGGUUAACAAAAACAAUGCUUACAGCAUACAGUAGUAUUAGCGUUAUCGUCGACGACUGACCGAUACUGUAUGAUAUGUUAUCGGCGAUACACGGAGUUGAAUCGGUGACGACGUGAGAAUUCGUACCUUACGAGGAUGAUAUGUUAAACUAUGAGGUAAUCUCUAGAGCCCAAUAAAAGGCCCAU